GCCCGGACGCGCGCGCGGAUGCCUCCGGGUCCCCGUGGCAUGUGCAUCCGCGGCCUGUGCCACCUCCGCGCUGCUCCAGGUGCUCCGCGCACCCCCCCCCACACACCCUUUCCUCGCUGCGCGGCGGCGCAGGGGCCGGGGAAGCGCGCCAGGAGCAGGCCGCGCGCGGUGCCGGGGAGGCGGGCGGUGCUUUCCGCGCCGUCGGAGGAGCGGUCGCCGCGGCUGGGAGCGAAGGCUUUGGAGAAGUGACAGCAGUGCAUUUUUUCCUACUGAAAACAGCAGCUACUGUAAUGCUUUCAAAUAUAUGCAAAUGAUACAUGCGGUUAGUGGUUUGGCAAAUCUUGAUUACAAUAUAAACUACCCAAGGAAAAGUGCCUUCGUCCUAAAUUUGUCUUUAGAUUACAAUUCCAGUUGAUUUUAUUUUAUUGUCAACAUUGUUAAUGAUAAAAAUAGAGUCGUUUUACAGUUAUUUUUACUUUCUGGAAGGAGGCAAUUAGACUUCUAAUCAGGAAUACACAAAAAUCUCCCAUGAUUAACUGCAGUACUUUGUUCAAAUUGCUGCUAUAAAAUUCAGAACAAUUUGCCUGUAAUGAUUAUGGACUGGGUUUAUUUUGGGAGGUGGAAUAAAAGUGGAUAUAGCAUAAAUUAUCCUCUAAUUAUACACCAGUGUCGCCUCAAUUAUCCUCUUAUCAAAAUGGUUGUCUAACUGCCGCAUUUAGUUUCAAUUCUCUCCUUUUUUCUAUAAAAAGAACUUCAUACCUUGUUAUUAUUAAUCCAUUUAUUAUUUGCAAGGGGAUUUAUAUCCGAACAUCCAGGUGGUAUUACCACUUCUCUUUCAAAGAUGGACUGGGGAAAGACAUUAAGUUUGAUCCAGCACCGCGGAGGAUCUCUCCCUCUCUCUCUCUCUCCCCCCUCUCUCUCUCGCUCUCUCUCCUUUUUUUCCCCCUCUUUCCCUUGCUUAAAUCUCCUCGCGUCCAGCUAAGCAUGAACUCCAGAGGCAGACCCCGCCGGAGAGGACUGAGGGCGGCCGGGAUGUUUCAUGCCCCCUUCCCCACGCUCUCCUCGGUGUUUCACUUCUUGAGCCUGUGGAGUCGGUUCAGUAACUCUGAAUGCACUUGCAAAUAGGACAGAAAGACGUUUUUCAUUUCUCAUGACACCGGGUGAUGAGGAAAUGUUGGCUCUGCAGUAACCUCAAAAGUGGACAUCGGGCAGAUCCAAUGACUCCUGAACUCUAGAGGACAUUGAUGCUCUUCAACUUUGAAGAUAAUUAAGCUGCUGUGGAAAAUGACCAGAAAACUACAGUCUGAGAAAACCCAUCCAUCAUCUUCAGGCAGUUUUCCAAUCUGUUAACUUUAGCUGCUACUAAUAAGUCCAGGAAAAGCAAUUAUUAUGAUGUUUCACAGAAUAGCUUCCAGAGAUCAUACGAUGUAAACUGCUGUCGGGCAACAUUUCUUGUAAGGAAGUGGCCUUCUUUUCUUCAGUAAGCAACUUUGUCCAAAGCAAGUGUGAUAAAAAUUGAGUUAGAGACCCAGACCCUUAGCUGUUGGAAAUGGGGAUUGACCGUAGUUACUGUGCCAAUUUGCACCUUCCAAAGAUUUGAAUCACUGUGUUUUGUAAAGCACUUGCUUGUGGGUUUACUGAGUGUGCAGUCUCUUUCAAUAAGGGAGAGAGUUAUGGAAUGGGAUCGAGAUAUCCUUGCUAACACAGUAUAUCAUGGAAUGCCAAAUCAGGCAUCUGGCCUUGACUUCAGAUUUGCUUCCAGAAAGUGAUAUUUUAUCUACUAUUUAACAUACAUAAUCAGCAAUGUGAAACAAGCCAAAACUCAGUGCACUAGCAUCUCUAGUUUGUUUCUUGCCUUUCUGAGGCCCUUAAUAAAACUGAUCGCUGCCUGUUGUAAUGCAGCAGGCUGCUACCUGCCAUCAGUCCCCCUGUCAGUACCCUUGUACAUGGCAGUCGCCUGCAUUUUUUUGGUACUGUGUCUCAGCAGCAUGUGGACAGAGGGAGCUGCCAGUGGUGAGCAUCACUACGAAGGUGUUAACUGGCCUGGAGAGAAGGAGGCCCCUCCAAAGUUAUAAUGAAGCAUUAUUGGGCAACACAGAUAUCCAUUGGUGGAUAUCCAUUAGAAGGAGAGAGGCCAGCGGAGGAACUCAGCUGAGGUCCACAUACAGACAGCUUCUUCUAAGAGAAGGGGAAACCAAAGGAGUAGGGGAUUGAAGGAAUGGUAUAUGGUUUAUCUAGGACUGUGUUUACUAUAGCCUGAUUUCUAUCAGGAGGGACAGAUAGUGAGGCACUGAGAAGGAAAACAUGAUAAAUGCUUUAUGAUAACAAACUUAUAUAUUGACAAAGCUCUACUUUGGGACCUUGGAGCCAAAGCAUUUAGGAUGACUGAGAUCAUCUGUGGUGGCAGCUCACCAAGCCUCACUGAUUAGUUUCAGGGGCUGAUUAAUAUCAUAUCUGCUUAUUGAAAGCUCCUUGCUACUAGUUCCUGGCCAUUCUUCACAUGUCCUCACAAGGAGGUGUUAGCUCAUGAGUAACUUUGGAAUCAAUUCCGUCUGUCACUGCUAGACUCCUUGAUCUUGAUGACCAUUGUUACUGGCAGAUGAUAUUCAGCAUACUUCCAGAUUCCCAUCUACCUCAUCAGACUGCAUGAUUUAUUGUUUCAAUUGCACUUCUGUAGAAUAUUAUAGGUCGUCUUGGUGUGUUUGGAUUUCUGAUUGCAAACUUGUUUUCUGAACCUUGAAAAAAAUUGACACUAAGAGGAAAGCAUAGUCUGGAUUGCUUCUGAAAACUUCAGAUUUAUGUGCUAGAUCUUCCUCCAUAAUAUGCAAUCUGAGCCUAGAUACCCAUUUGCUUCGCAAGCAAAAAUCUUGGUGUUGAGUACCAUCAUUAAGUUUUUUGCUAAGACAAAUAAGAUCAAGGGGUUCAUGGUAUGAUUAUAAUACUUGUUUGGCAAUUGGUUCUUUUCUUGACUAAAUUCUGGACAUCCAUAUGUUGGGAGGUUAGAAACUAUAAUUUGCCUUGCUUAAGAGAAACGAUUAAGUGAAUCGAUAUUUGCUUUAAGUCAUCAAAGCUGUUUUGGCCCACAGGUGUAUAUAUAUAUGUAUAUAUCUGUAGUCUUAAAAUAUGUAUAAGCAUUCAUCCUAAUAUAUAUGUGCAUUGCUCACAUGCAUUAUAUGAAUAUGUGUACCUUUAUUCCUUCAUAAAUAUAUGUAAAAAUUCCUCCUUCUAUAUAUCUCCACAUACGUUUAUACACAUUCCUCCUGCAUAUGUCCUCUUGGCCUUAAUUGCAGAUUGAUGGGUGCCAGCAAACAAUCUGGUUCUGACAUCUAAUAAGAGGAUUAGAUAUAUUGCUGAAAGAUCAACAGUUGGUGUUUGGGACUUCAUGGCUCCCUGAACACCAUGAAACUGAGUGGGUGGAAAGGCUGCUCUUGCUGUAAGACUUACCUUAGUUACAUGUACUUUGUUCACUUGGGCAACAGUUCUACUGUAGUAAGAUGCAAGUUUGUUAAAAACUGUUAUUUUCUCUUGCACAGGGGGAAUAAGGGCUUCCUUCUUAUUAAAAAUUUUAGCUUCAUGUGAACUAUUGUGGGGUUUUAGUGAUAUAAAGUCUUAAAAUGUGAUAAUGAAAUACUGAGCAGAAAACAUUUAAUGUUUGAUUCCUGAUAGCAUUAUGCUAUCUGUAAUGAUGAUAAUGAUAAAAAUAAAAAUGGCAUUUCUUAUUUGUCAGAUACACUGUAACACAGAAGGUCCGACAGUCAGAUGACUUCUAGGCAAGAAACUAGCAUAGGCCUGCAGAACUGAAAAAAUGCUACUUGCUUACUAUCUGGUAUAGCAGAAGAUUCUUUCAAUUAAAUAUGUAAAUUAAGAUGGGUAUGAGCAACAAAUAUCAAGUUUCAAGUCAUGCUGUGCCAUUAGUUUGAAGCCAGAACUCAUCUUUGGUUUCCUAGAGACAUCCAUGUGCAAAUUAAAGGCAAGAGAAUGACUGGUCUUUCUGGUACUAGCCUGUUAUGUUAUUCUACAGCAAUGUGCUCAGUCUGGAAAAUACAUACCAAUAAUGAAUAUGUUUUUUCAUCAAGAUAUUCAUUUUCUUGUAUAAGACCAUCUUGUUUCCUAGAUCUUUUUACACCUAUUACUCAGUUUAUGUGCACAAUAGGACUUGUAAUAGUUCUGUAUCUCUUCUUAAAGUGAAAAGUCAAAGGGAAAAAAGGAGUUCUUAUGUCUAAGUGUUUGAAACUGACUAUGGUCUAGACGCCAUUAAAGCACAAGUGUAACAGCACAUGUUUAAAAAAAUAAAUAGUAGAUGUAGGAUACAACAUUCCAGACACAGCAGAGAACGUUCAAAUUCAUAUAAGCCUUCUGGCUUAGUUUAUACUUCUUGAAAGAUACUGGAAAACUGGUGGCAUUUUUCAGUUUUGUACUUUGCAACUUGUUGAGGUCCCCGAAUGUGUUUCUUAUACUGUUCCUUUGUAGUCAUCGGGUUAUUGGAACAGAUGUGUGAAUGAAAAUAAAUCUCAAUUCUGCAUUGCUUAUGGGGCUUGGUUCAAAGAUGAUUGAUUGUCAUCCAUAGAAGGAUCUCACCCAAGUCUCUUCCAUACUUCUGAUCACAUCAUUAAUGAAGACAUUUUGAUCACUUUGGUCUUUUACCUACCAUCUGAAGAGGAAUAAUGAUCCUGCCUUUGAAAAAUGUUUUGAAACUGACAGUGAUGUAGAUAUUAAUCACUGUUACAACUUCUUAGAAACAGUAAGAAAUGAAAUACCAUUUAACUGAAAGACUGUGUUUUAUUAUAUUUACAACAAUGGAAUUGGAAUAUAACCUUUUUAUUUAAAAAAAUCAAGCCACAGAUUAAGUUUUGAUUGCAUUAUUUUGUACUGAAAAUAAGAAUAAUGGAAGCAAUUAAAUUUUCAUAGUCCUGCUCUCACACAAACACUUUCCAUGGUGAGCCUGUUUAUGCAACUGAGUGUGCCAUACAAUUGUUUUUAUUACCUUCUUAUAAAACAGCCUGUAUAAAACACUUUCUUUUUGAUUGUUUCUUUGCGUAUUGUUGAGUGUGUUUGCAUUCUAAAGGGCUUUGCUCAUUAAAGCAAUUACUGUAAACUUGC